UUAGGUCGGGAACUCAAAGGAGACUGCCAGUGAUAAACUGGAGGAAGGUGGGGAUGACGUCAAGUCAUCAUGGCCCUUACGACCAGGGCUACACACGUGCUACAAUGGCGCAUACAAAGAGAAGCGACCUCGCGAGAGCAAGCGGACCUCAUAAAGUGCGUCGUAGUCCGGAUUGGAGUCUGCAACUCGACUCCAUGAAGUCGGAAUCGCUAGUAAUCGUGGAUCAGAAUGCUACGGUGAAUACGUUCCCGGGCCUUGUACACACCGCCCGUCACACCAUGGGAGUGGGUUGCAAAAGAAGUAGGUAGCUUAACCUUCGGGAGGGCGCUUACCACUUUGUGAUUCAUGACUGGGGUGAAGUCGUAACAAGGUAACCGUAGGGGAACCUGCGGUUGGAUCACCUCCUUACCUUAAAGAAGC
rnacentral:rRNA from 1 species